rnacentral:misc_RNA from 1 species
CGCACCUUGCGCUCCUUGGUAUUCCGAGGAGCAUGCCUGUUUGAGUGUCAUUAAAUUCUCAACCUCACCAGUUUUGCUGUGUGAUGGCUUGGAUGUGGGGGUUGCAGGUCCACUCUGUGGUCUGCUCCUCUAAAAUGUAUUAGUGGGUUGAGCCCCUAAUCUAUUGGUGUGAUAAUUAUCUACGCCGUGGAUUGGAAGGCUAUCAUAGACCUGCUUCUAACCGUCCCUCACAGGACAACUUUGACAUUUUUGACCUCAAAUCAGGUAAGACUACCCGCUGAACUUAA